CGUUAAGAGGGCAAGGUCUGGUGCCAGCAGCCGCGGUAAUUCCAGCUCCAAUAGCGUAUAUUAAAGUUAGUUGUCAGUUAAAAAGACUCGUAGUUGGACCUUGGACCUGGACAGGCGGUCCGCCUCACGGCGAGUACUGUCUUGCUGGGUCGUUUCCUCUUGGUGAUCUGUUGUUUCGGCAGCAGGGAACCAGGACCUUUACUUUAGAAAAAUUAGAGUGUUCAAAGCAGGCUCGACGCCGGAAUAUAUUAGCAUGGAAUAAUAAAAUAGGACGUGCGGUUCUAUUUUGUUGGUUUUUGGAAUCGCCGUAAUGAUUAAUAGGGACAGUCGGGGGCAUUAGUACUCACAUGCUAGAGGUGAAAUUCUUGGAUUUUGUGAAGACUAACUUCUGCGAAAGCAUUUGCCAAGGAUGUUUUCAUUAAUCAAGAACGAAGGUUAGGGUAUCGAAAACGAUUAGAUACCGUUGUAGUCUUAACAGUAAACUAUGCCGACUAGGGAUCGGUCGAUGUUAUCUUUUUGACUCGAUCGGCACCUUACCGAGAAAUCAAGUUUUUGGGUUCUCGGGUCGACGCGGCCG
rnacentral:rRNA from 1 species